AUUCAGCAAGGCAAUGGAUUCUGCCUGAUGGCCUGAUGGCGAUCGAACCGCUUCCGCGACGGAGGCUGAUGAUUCCUACCCGACG
rfam:Acidomonas methanolica NBRC 104435 DNA, contig: Amme_009.